GACGAACGCUGGCGGCGUGCUUAACACAUGCAAGUCGAACGGAAAGGCCCUGCUUUUGUGGGUUGCUCGAUUGCCGAACGCGUGUGUAACACGUGAGUAUCCUGCCCUUGUCUUUGUGAUAACUUCAGGAAACAGGGGCUAAUAUCGGAUAGAAUCUCCUGCAGCAUGGUGGGGAAUGGAGAGUUUCGGCGGUUGGGGAUGGACUCGCGGCUUAUCAGCUUGUUUGUGGGGUAGUGGCUUACCAAGGCUUUGACGGGUAGCCGGCCUGAGAGGGUGGCCGGGCACAUUGGGACUGAGAUACGGCGCAGACUCGUACGUGAGGCAGCGGUGGAAAAUCUGGCACAGUGAGCGGGCGCGUGAUGCGGCAGCGCCGCGUGCGUGAUGACGGCCUUCGGGUUGUGAACCGCUGUCGACUGUGACGAAGCGUGCUUGACGGUAAUGAGUCAAGAAGCACCGGCUAACUACGUG
rnacentral:rRNA from 1 species